rnacentral:lncRNA from 1 species
UGUAGAUCUAGGAUGGCUUGUAGAAACAGUCCAAGGAGGAAGAAAACUGUCAUCUCAGUAAGAAGGUAUUAAAAAGAACUUACGAUUGGAUUUUGGUUUGUGUUAGGCGAUUUGGGGGAGAGUUCUAGGAAAUAGGAAUUAGAUGCCAUCUGAAAGUGAAAGUAUUUCUGUGAUCAAUAGCUUAAUAAUUUGUAUCUCUAGGUGGGGGAACAAUGAAGUAGAACUAAGUUUAAUUAUAAAGAAGCAACAGUCAAAAUUACCCAGGAAAGGGUGGUGUUUCGUAUUUUUUGUGGUUUGGAUCACAACAUUUAUAUUUUCCUCUGAACUGAGAUAUGAUUAUGGAGUAUUCUUGUACUUGUUUGGUCUUUCAUCAUCCCAGGUGGCCUUGUCUUCUGUUGGUGUUCUGUGGAAUUGUUUUGAGAUCAACAGAAAAACAUCACAGCUAGGCCAGACCUUAGCCACACCACGGCCUAACUGAUAGUUUUAAGCUGCCUCCCGGCUUCUCUUAUCUUGAACAUGUUAAAUUUGGUCUUACUUUAGAGCCUUUGUCAUUUCUGUUUCUUCUGCCUGGCAACCCUUUCCAGGUAAUCAUUGUGCUUCUUCCAUAACUUCAUUCAGACCUCUGUUCCAGUAUCAUCUUCAAGAGGCCUCUUCUGUCCUUUUUGAAAAAUAGUAUUCCCAGUACUCUCUGUUCUCUUUGUUUGCUCUAUUUGUCUCUGAGGCACUCAAUGCCUGUUUUUAUCAAAGUUUUUCCUAAUGGUAAAAUGUAAAAAAAAUAAGUGCAGUGUUUUUUUAAAGAGCUCAAUUUACUCAAUGUAAAAUACUGUCUUUCAUUUUGAGAUUAUUUCCUUCCUACUAUUAGGGUAGAAAUUACCAGUACUUCAGUUAUGUUAUAUCAUAACAUUUAUUUUGCUUCUUAUCUAUCUUCUCUACUAGAAUAUACAGUCUGUAAGACAUAGAUCAUACAGAUCACAAUGUGCAUGGUGCCCUCUGGAGUCAUUCACCAUCAGCCUGCCCAAACAGGACUUACCUCUUCCCUUUUAUUUAUAGGUUUGUUCACAUCAGUUGAAACACUGCCCAGCAUUAACUUGGCCCUUAAUGAAUAUCUGACAGGGAAUAAGUCAUGACAAAGACGAUAUUGUAUCUGACCAAUCCCCCCAACUAGUGAUGGUGAUCUAAUGUACUAUGAACAGAGUGAGAUAACUUGAGAUAUUCAUUUAACAUGCUCCCAUUAAAAUUGUUAUCACUUGGAGUAAAAUUAGGUGAAUUAGUGUUCUAACAUUAUUUUUGCUCUCAAUUACAAUUUUAGGGAUCAAAGGAAGCAGUUCCAGGUACUUGUGGAGAAUAAGUUUUAUGAGUGGUUGAUUAAUACAGGACAUCGCCAACAGCUGGACAGCCUUGUACCCCCUGCAGCAGGCUCCAAACAAGCAGCAGGAUAAGGUCCUACAUCCAGUCACUGGUAGGCAUUUAUAAUGCAGGCUGCUUAAAACAAAUUCAUUUGCGGGAAAUCUUUCAAGUAUACAAAAAAUACACAAAAUAUUAUGUUACUAACCCUUGCCAAAUUUUUCCCCAGCACUCCCAACUGCAACAUAGACCUUUACAUAUUUGCAAUAUUUUAUAGUGAGAAAAACCAAAAUAUUAAGGUGGAACCUUUAGAAUUUUAGGCAAAUAAACAAUUUUGUCUUUUUUGCUUGGCACAAUUACUUGGCACAAUUUACACUGUCCAAAGAUUCUACUUUCAUUCAUACAUAGUUUUAAGUUUGAUUCUCUCUUCUCUCUGCUUUCUCACCUCUCUCCCACAAAUCAAUUAAUAAAUUAGUCAGUCUUUGUUAAUGACACCUGAGAGGUAAUAAUCCAUAUGAAAGUUUGAUUACUGAACACUAGAAUAUUAUAGAUGACAGAAUAGAACAUGGUUACAGACAAAUUUGCUGGAAGUUAUUUCAUCCAAAUAUAUGGUGUUUUUCUAGAUAGAAAUUAGUUUACUUCGUUACUCUAAAGUUUUUUUAAAGGCUAACAAUAAGGAAAACAGACAAAGGGCAUGAACAGGUGGCUCAUAGAAAAAUACAGAGACAAGGAUACUCAUUUAAAAAUAAAUGUAGUAUAUAGGUUAAAUAUCCCUUAUUCUGAAAUGUUUAGGACCAGACACAUUUCAGAUUUUAGAUUUUGGAAUAUUUACAUAGACUUUACCAUGUGUAAAUCUUGAAAAUUGGACUAAUUAGAACCAAUUUUUUUUUUUUUUUAAUGCCAAAGAAAACCAGAAACCAAGUGCCAAAGUUUGAAACUUUUUUGAGUCUUGGCAUUUUGCUUGACAGUUUGACAAAAAUAAAAAUAAAAAUUACAAAUAUUCUUUGAUUUGGUGAUUUCACUUCUUGGAAUACUAAUAUAUAUGUGUUGUGUGUGUGUAAAGUUCUGCUAAAUUUUUAUUUUAUAUACUUUUUUAAAUCCACAAAACUAUUAAUCUUGUAAAAUACGAUGUUUUGGAAUAAAUACACAUUGGAAUUGCUAAAAAAACUAAUUAGCAUACAUAUUGCCUCACAUAAGUUGUUACUUUUAUAGUGAGAAAACUUAAAGAGAAUCUACCCUUUAGCAUUCUCAACAAUACAGUAGUUACAGUGUUGUACAGUAGAUGUAUUGAAUUUAUUCCUCCCAUAACUGAAUAUUGUUAGACUAUAAAGAUCUUUUUUAGAAAUAUAUUCAUUGUAGCAUUGUUUGAAAUAGCUGUAACCUGGAAAUAGCCCAAAUGUUUCUCAGAAGAGAGCUGAUGCCUAUUGACUGAUUCAUCUGUAAUAUGAAUGCAUCUUUAAAAAGAAUGAAAUAUAUUUAUGUGGAUACUGAAUGAUCUCUAAACUCAGGGAGAAAAUUAAAAUGUCUCCUAUGUUUGAAAAUAGAGUGGGAUUAUCAUACAUAUGCUUAUUAUGUGCCUAGAAUUUUUCUGAAAGGAUGUAAAGAAGUCAUAAACAGUAUUUGUUUUUUCAGGAAUAAGACUGGGUGUCUAGGAUAGGAAAAACUUUUUUUAUUGAGAUGUAAUUUACAUAAAAAAUUCACUGUUUUAAAAUAAUGAAUUUAGUGGCUUUUGGUAUAUUCACAAUUUUGUGCUGAAUUCACCAUUUAGAAAUUCAAAAUAUUUUCAUAACCUCUAAAAUAAGCCCAGACACAUUGGCAGUCACUCCCCAUUCUUCCAACCCUGUGUAUCUAUUCUUAUUCCCCUGGCAACUAGUCAUCUACUUUAUCUAUUCUGGACAUUUCAUAAAAGUGGAAUCUCAUAAUAUGUCUAUCUUCUUUUACUUAGCAUAAUGUUUUUCAAGGCCCAUCCAUGUUGUAGCAUGUAUUAAUACUUUGUUCCUUUUUAUGGAUGGAUGUUAUUUCAUUGUGUGGAUCUACCACUUUGUUUAUCCAUUCAUCAGUUGAUGAACAUUUGGGUUAUUGGUAUUUUUGUGAAUAAUGCUGUCAUGUACAUUCGUAUGUAAGUGUUUGUAGAGACAUGUUUAUUUCUAUAUAUCUUUAUUUGUGCACUACAGUUGUAAGUAAUGGAGGGAUUUGUUGUUACAUAUUCAUGCAUGCACACAAUAUAACAAUAUAAUUUUGUCAAUAUCAUUCUCCAGUAUUUCUCUUUUCCUCCCCACCUCCUAUCCCUUGGUCCUUUUCCUCUACUGAUCUCCCUUUGCUUUUCAUGAGAUUCCAUCCUCAACUAUUUUUUCUCUUUUCUAAGCUUCCACAUGAGAUAAAACAUGUGGCCUUCUAUAUUUGGCUUAUUUCACUUAACAUAAUAUUCUGAAGUUCUAUUCAUUUUCCUACAUAUGACGAUCUCAUUCUUCUUUAUGGCCAAAUAAAACUUCAUUGUGUGUAUUUUUCCUUAUACAUCCAUUGAUGGACAUGUAAGUUCCAUAGUUUGGCUAUUGUGAAUUGUGCUGCUAUAAACAAUGGUAUGCAUAUAUCACUAGAGCAUGAUGACUUUAAUUCUGCAGGAGUAGUAUAGCUGGGUUAAGUGGUGGUUCCAUUUUUUGUCUUUCUUUGGUCUUUGUUUUUUGGUUUUAUUUUGUUUUUUAGUACUGGGUUUGGAACCCAAGGAUGCUUAGCCACCUGAGCCACAUUCCAGCCUUUUUUUUUAAUUUUGAAACAGAGUGUCCUGCUAAGUUGCUUAGGGCCUUGCAAAUUUGAAGAGGCUGGCUUUGAACUUGCAGCCCUCCUGCCUGAGCCUCCUAAGCCACUAGUAUUACAGGUGUGCACCACCAUGCCUGGCCCAUUCCUAGUCUUUUGAGGAAGGAACCUCCAUUGUACUAAUUUACAAUCCCACCAACAGUGUAAGAAUGUUCCUUUUACUCUAUAUCCUCUCCAGCAUUUUUUAUUGUUUGUAUUCUUGUUGCCAUUCUGACUGAAGUGAAAUGAAAUCUCAGGGUAGUGUUGAUAUGCAUUUCCCUAAUUGCUAAUGAUGUUGAACAUUAUUUCAUAUAUUUGUUGGCCAUUUGUAUUUAAAAAAAAAUUAUUUUUAGUUGAAUAUGGACUCAAUGCCUUUUGUUUGUUUUUAUGUGGUGCUAGGAUCGAACCCAGUGCCUCACACUUGCAAGGCAAGUGCUCUACCACUAAGGAAAGGUCUUAAGUAAAGACCUUUCCUUGACUUCCAUUCAUACUCAAUUAUUACUAUUUAGGCUGAAUCUUAGCUACUACUCCAGUCAUGAAUUUUUUCUUUUGAGAAGUGUCUGUUAUGCUGCUUAUUCAUUUGUCCAUUUAUUAAUUGGGUUAUUGUUUUUUAGUGGGUUUUUUUUUGCUUUUCAGUAUUAAAUUUGAGUUUUUGUAUAUAUUCUGGAUAUUAAUCCUCUUAAUAGAAGAGGAGCUAGCAAAGGUUUUCUCUCAUUCUAUAAGUUGUCUACAUUCUUAAUUGUUUCCUUUGCUGUUCAGAAGCUUUGAUGCCAUCCCAUUUAUUAUCUCUUGGCAUUAUUUCCUGACCUUUAGAGGUCCUAUUGAGAAAGUUGAUGCCUAUACCUAUAUGUUGGAGUAUUGACCCUACGUUUUCUAGGAGUUACCUAGUUUCUGGUCUGAUUUCACAUGGGCAUAUACCUAGGAAAGGAAUUGCAAGGAUAUAUUAUACUUAAUUUUUUAAGGAAUGGCAAUUUUCAAAGCUAUGAAAGAUAUACUUUGUUAUUUACUUUAUGUGGUAUUUACAUUUUUAAGUUGCAUAUUACAUUUUUAAAGAAAAAGUCUUCAUAUUUUUACUUAAUAAUGCUGAGAUUAAGAAUUAGGAGAUUUUGCAAAAGAAAUUGAAACUGUAACAGGGUAAAAAUUUUAGCUUAAACCUAUCUCAUGAUCUGCCAGGUUUUUGUAGAAUUACUCAUAGAAGAUAUUAUGAACUAAUGUGACACAAAAAAAGGAAUAUGGUUAACCUUAUAAACUCUGUUUUAUCACUCUAAAUUAUCUCCAUAAUUUAUGUGAUUUUGUAAAUAAGGGUUUUCUUAUUUGCAUGAAGGCAAUAAAAAUAAUUAAUAUGAAUUUUUCUUUUGUUAUCUUCAGGGCCCUGAAAACAUAAGGAUGAAUGAAGAAUGGUUCCCAUCUUAAUACAAAAUUGGGAUAGCUUCAUUGCUGCUUAAGAGACUUUGAGGAUUUUUUUUUUUUUUUUUUGACCCUUUAUUUAAGACCUUUCCUUGACUUCCAUUCAUACUCAAUUAUUACUAUUUAGGCUGAAUCUUAGCUAAACUUCUGACUUUCAUGUAAGCAUAUUGUUUAUAGAGCAUUAGAAGACUCAUGUUUGUGAUGCCAACAUGUUAAUGAAGGCAGUCCCAUUUUGUGUGUGUGUAUGCGUGCGUGUGUGUGUAUGUGUGUGAAUAUUUAAGUGAUCAUAGAUUUGCAAGUGAUUUCAUUUUGUAAUUUGUAUGAUGAAAGGGUUUGAUCCUUUCUAGAGUUAAGAGAUUUUUUAUAGUUCUUUGUAACUAUUUAAAAGAUGGUUGCUAUUGCUUUUAAAAAAUAAUUGGAAUAAAAGUAUGAUUGGUUGGUGUAUAAAUAAAACAGAAAUAGUUUUAUACAAAGAUAUUUUAGUCCUUAAAGUAUGAAACUUAAUGAAUUUGUGUAAAAAUCUUUAUUUUUUAUUUUCUGCUUCAAAUUUUCAAUAAACAAGCUAAAAAGUAAUUUUCUCCUUUUGUUAAAAAGAUAAAGCUUUGUUUUUGUGUGUGUGGUGCUGGGGAUUGAUACUCAUGGCUUUGUGCUAAGCAAGCACUCUUCUGAGUUAUAGCCCCAGCUCCAAGGCUUUACUUUUGAUUUUAGAAAAGGUUUUCAUUAUCAUUCUGUGACAUAUGGAAGUAUGAUUUACUUGGAUAAGCUUUGUUUCUCAAGAAAAAAGAAAACAAUUUUCAGUUGAUAAAAUGAAUUAUUCAUAUUUCAUAUGCUUACUGGCAAUUCAAUUAGUAAUUGUAUUUAAAAAGGGCUACUUUUAUUUGUGAUGUGAAAAUUAACCUUCAUAAUGUUGUUAAUUCUAAUUGAAGUUUUCAGAGUUUUUGUUUUAAGAUGAAAUUCAAGCAAGCAGAGCAUUAUCAAAUAAAUAAAUAUUGGAAUAAUAAAGGGUGUUUGGGAAAUUGUUUGUUAAUGACAUUAAUGAUAUUAAUCAGAUAUUUCCUUAUAAUUUAUAAAAUUCAGAAAACUAAACAUAUAACUUAAUUUUGUUUCUCAGUAGUUUUUAUAUUAAGCAUUUUUGUUGUUUUCUAAUUUGAUCAUAAUAUAUCUUAUGGGUAUCCCAUUUACAAAAAUAUUCAUUGUACAACUUUGUUAGUAGAAAGUUAGGGAAGUUGGACUUUUGAGAAGAUAUAUUCUAGAUCAGAAAAAUUAAAAUGGAGAAG